rnacentral:rRNA from 1 species
GUGAGGAAUAUUGGUCAAUGGGCGGGAGCCUGAACCAGCCAAGUCGCGUGAAGGAAGAAGGAUCUAUGGUUCGUAAACUUCUUUUGCAGGGGAAUAAAGUGCAGGACGUGUCCUGUUUUGUAUGUACCCUGAGAAUAAGGAUCGACUAACUCCGUGCCAGCAGCCGCGGUAAUACGGAGGAUCCGAGCGUUAUCCGGAUUUAUUGGGUUUAAAGGGUGCGUAGGUGGUUUGAUAAGUCAGCGGUGAAAGUUUGCAGCUUAACUGUAAAAAUGCCGUUGAAACUGUCGGACUUGAGUGUAAAUGAGGUAGGCGGAAUGCGUGGUGUAGCGGUGAAAUGCAUAGAUAUCACGCAGAACUCCGAUUGCGAAGGCAGCUUACUAAGCUACAACUGACACUGAAGCACGAAAGCGUGGGGAUCAAACAGGAUUAGAAACCCUUGUAGUCC